rnacentral:rRNA from 1 species
CAGGCCUAACACAUGCAAGUCGAGCGCGCCUUCGGGUGAGCGGCGGACGGGUUAGUAACGCGUGGGAACGUGCCCUUCUCUACGGAAUAGCCUCUGGAAACGGAGAGUAAUACCGUAUACGCCCUUUGGGGGAAAGAUUUAUCGGAGAAGGAUCGGCCCGCGUUAGAUUAGGUAGUUGGUGGAGUAACGGCCUACCAAGCCUACGAUCUAUAGCUGGUUUUAGAGGAUGAUCAGCAACACUGGGACUGAGACACGGCCCAGACUCCUACGGGAGGCGGCAGUGGGGAAUCUUAGACAAUGGGGGCAACCCUGAUCUAGCCAUGCCGCGUGAGUGAUGAAGGCCUUAGGGUCGUAAAGCUCUUUCGCCUGUGAUGAUAAUGACAGUAGCAGGUAAAGAAACCCCGGCUAACUCCGUGCCAGCAGCCGCGGUAAUACGGAGGGGGUUAGCGUUGUUCGGAAUUACUGGGCGUAAAGCGCGCGUAGGCGGAUUAGAAAGUUGGGGGUGAAAUCCCGGGGCUCAACCUCGGAACUGCCUCCAAAACUGCUAGUCUAGAGUUCGAGAGAGGUGAGUGGAAUUCCGAGUGUAGAGGUGAAAUUCGUAGAUAUUCGGAGGAACACCAGUGGCGAAGGCGGCUCACUGGCUCGAUAC